ACCAGCAAAACUCUGGGCCAUCGUAGUAGAGCGCGCAAACUUAACCACUCGGCCAUGAGGCCAGUCCCUAUACAUAGUUUUUAAUAACUAUAAGUUUUGGUGUAUUGAUAUACUAUUUCUUUGAUUCUCUAAUAUCAACAUCUCUGCCUCUUUACAAGUUGAUUUAUAUGUAUUAAGAGCUGUAAACAAAAUUAGUCCAUUUUAAAAAUGGGCAUAUUUAUUUGUAAAUUAUCAGCCAAGAUCUAUCCCAAUGCAGACUGCUUUGUUCUAGUCUGAAUAUACAAUAAAAUUAAUUUAAAUAACUUUAAUCAGCUUCAAAAACAGCAAAUUCCAAGACAAUUAGGUUAACUUUAAGAACUCAUAUUUAUUGAGUUAACAGAUGGUAAAUUAAAAAACAAUGAAGUUAAUUUUUAAAAUCAUUCACUGAGUUAAAAAAAUAGACAUUUAACAAAACUGUUUUUAAGUUGUUUUUUCAUCCCAAUAUGCAUAUUUUAAGAUUCCAAUUUAGAGGACUUCUGGGAAGACACCAAAUGACUCGCAGUAUAUGAAUGCUCUUCCACCAAAUAACUUAUUAAACAGCCUUAGAACCAUCUGAAAAAGAAUUGUAUGCAUCAACAAUAAAAAUAUAAGAAAUGAGCUUAUUCCAGAUACUGGAAGGAAUGAAAGAUCUGCCUCAUCAAUUCCAAUUUGUUCUCUGACACGCUCUCGUGGCCUUCUGUAUUGCUGGCCCUGACAUACCUUGGGAAUUUUCUAUGCUAGCAGAGUAAAAGUUACUCCUGGCCAGAUUGCAUUUCUACAUUUUAGCAGUCAAAUGUAAAAGAUUUCCCUUUGAUGGCUUCUUGGGACUUGUGCACCAGUGACUUGAAAUAUAUGAGCAUCACAAAAAUGUUUUCUUUGUUUUCUCCUUUGCUGUCAUUGUAAGUGCUAAAAGCUGACUCUGCAAGCUUACAGGAAAAGAGGAAUUUCGUGGAAGCACAGUGAGGGUGUGAGGGUUUUUCCUCUUGGGCUCCUACUUCAUUGGGUCUCCUUGGAGUUUUUGGAGAUGAAAGAAUGACAUAUUCCAAUACAUGAAGUGUACUAGAAACUCUCGUUGUUUCCACAUGAGAGUUCAAUCAUUUCUCCUACUUCCCAUGGUUUUAUUGAUGGCAUUGAAGAGAACACCAUGGAUACAUUAAGAUACAUUAUUUGCAUUGUACUGGCUAUUAUUAGGGGUUUUUUGGUAAGGAAGACUCUUUCUGAGCUAACAUCUGUGCCCAUCUUCCUCUAUUUUGUAUGUAGGAUGCCACCACAGCAUGGCUUGAUGAGCAGUGUGUAGGUCCACACCCAGGAUUCGAAUCCACAAACCCCAGGCCACCGAAGCAGAGCGUGUGAAAUUAACCACUAUGACAGCAGGCUGGCCCCUGGCUAUUAUUGGUUUUAACGUCGUGGCAUAUUUAGAACAAAAGUUCUACCUGUAGAGAUGAAGUUAUUUCACAAACAUAUUUGGAAUAGAUCUGUUUGCAUGGCUGGUUGCUCAAUCGGUGUUACAGUCUUUUCUUUACCCUGGAUAACAGCAAACUGUCUUAUAUUUUAUUUUAUGAUUCUCAAAACUCCUUGUCUAAGAUCUGGUCUCACUACAUUGUAAACCUUACAUUUCUUGGUCAGUAAUGUUGAGAAUUAUAUUUACUGGUUUUGAUAGACCAAUUUAUUAGUUGUAAUUUGAAUUAAAAACAGAGAUGUAAAGCACAUUUAUUAGUGAAAUUACUGGAGUAAAAAUUAUCUUAUUAUUGUGCAUUUGAAACUAUUUAGCGCCUAGCCCCUUUUCUCCUUGAAAUAACUGUUUUUAUAAUAACCUUUUGAUAAUAUGAGACUUCUUAGAAAUGUAUUUAUUACAAUAUAGUAGUACAGACUAUAUUGUUUUUAAUUAAGCAAGAACAGGUAUAAAUAAGAAUAGAUUGUGACUAAAUGAAAAAUUCAGUAGGUGAAAUUUCUAUUUUGCAGAAAUAGAAAUCAGAGAUACAGAAGAAAAACUUCAUAAGUAGUCUAAACAUCCAAAGGAGAUGAAUAAAAGUUAAAAAGAUAAGAGGAAAUUGGAUAAAUUAUGGAGUUCUAACUCAGAAUAUAAGUUCCUUAAGAGCAAUAAAAAUCUUAUUGUAACCUUACCCCUAACAGAGGACUUAACACAUAGUAUAUACUAUUAGUAUUAAAUAAAUGUUUCUUGAACUUAUGAAUAAAAUAAUCAGUGUUCCCCUGAAAAUAAAGCAGAUGGACCAGAAGUAAAAAUCAAAGUUAUAAAAGAAAAACUUUGUGAAGAAAAAGUUGCACUGACAGAUUUCUUUUGAACAAAAUUAGGAAAUAGAGAUAAAUGCCUAGUCAGAGGCUGGUCAAUUUUUAAAUUUCUAGGGCAAACAAAAUUCCUGCAAUUGUCUAAGAAAAAUAUAUAUAUAAAUACUUUUGUAGAUCACCCUCAUUUUUUUAAUAUAGAACAAGAACUUUUUUAAGACCACAGGUAAAUUUCUACAUAUUUUAAGAGAAACCAGUUUUAUUUUGCAAGUUUUAUGCCUACCUGAUUAUUGGCUUAUGUGUAAAAGCAACAGUGGAACAUUUUAAAAUCUGAAAAGUGUCAGAAAAUAUAAACAUUUUCUGAAAAAUAUUGCAGAGAGAUAUCUUCCAGAUCAUUGAGAGGUGAGACAAUAUAAAAACUCAAGGAUAGGACAUUUUGGGAAAAAUGAUUAGUGCUAAGCAUUGAAGGCAAAGACAAAGAAAUAAAUGAAUAAUGUAUAGUGAAAAUUGAAGUGAGUGAAGAAUUGAUGCUGAUGGCUAGAUAUUUUUUUUUACUAAAGGACCAAUGUUUUCAAUAAAACAAUCUUUAAGAAGAAAUUUUCAUAUUUUUAAGUGAAGAGUUUGUAACUCAUGGUCACAAUGUGGAAUGAGGAAAUGUAGAAAACAAAAGCAUUAGAAGUUGUUGCUUUAUUUUUAAAUCAUUAGAUAAGAAUGCAUUUAAGGAUAGUUAUGCAUAAUUAAAUGUAGGCACUAGUUGAACUGGAAACAAACGAUCUAUGUUAUAAGUAACUGUAGAAAAUAAAAGUAAACAAAACAUAGUCCAUGCAAAAGGCAGAAUGGAAAGGAAACAAUAACAAACUAUUGAAAAGGACAAAGUAUAAAAUAAGUCCAAUCAAGCUUAAAAAUUAUGACAAGUAUAAAUGGCUUAAAUUUUCCUAUUCAAAUGGAAAGAUCUUCACAUUAAGUUACAAUGAAAGUCUUAUGAUUUGGUGUACUUACAAGAGUCAUACUUAAAGAAAAAUGACAUAGAAAUAUUUUUUUAAAUGGCAAAGAUUUUCCAGCCUAACAUGCUUACAUCUAAAUCAAAUAUAGCAAUAUAAAUAUAAAAGAGGAAUUUUUGUCACAAAAAAAGUAAAUAAGACAACAGGACUAUUUUAUAAUCAUGAAUAGCAUAGUAUUAGUGAGAGAAUAAUGGUACUGAAAGAUUAUGCAUUAAAUAAGCAAAAGGUAAUUUUUACAUUCCGUUCUUUUAAUACAAUAGGACUCAACACAGCAAAAUAUUGAAAAUAAUAUGUAUCCAAGCAGUGCAAAAGUUUACAAAAUUAGAAACUAUACUAGGGAAAUACAUCAUAUCAGUAGGUUAAAUAAAAAAAGAAGUCAAUUGUUAUUUUAAUAGAUUGUUUUUAAAAGCAUUGGAUAAAAUUUAAUAGCUGUUUCUGUUAAAAUGAUAAAGAAGGAAAAAUAAAAUAUUUCCCUAACAUGAUAGUAUUUUCAACUAACAGUCAGCAUUAAAAUUAAUGUAAAAAUACUAGAAAUGUAUGUGUUUAAAAACAGGUGGGGAUGGAAGUUGGUAUGAUGGUUUGGUCAUAAUAAUCUUAUUAAAUGUUAUUUUAAAAGCCCUGAUCAGUGUAAUAAAACACUAAAGAAAGAACAGGUAUAAAGAGUGAAAAAGAUACAACAUUAUCCUUGUGUAUUGGAAAAAUAUUUUUUAUAGCUCAAAGCCCAAGGGACUCAAGAAAAAUAUGAAUAGACAAUAAAUGAGUAAAAAUUAAAAGACAUAUGAAUAUUAAAUAAAUCAGUAGUAUUUUUAAAUAUUAGCAACCAUUUAAAUAUAAACUUUUAAAAGAGGUUCAUUUUAUAAGAGCAACAAAAUGUAUAAAGCUGUAUGAUUUAUUUUAAACAGAAAUAUGUGAAAUAAAACUUUUGGGGAGCUAAAAAAUGUUAAAUAAUCAAAAGACCUUAUUUUUAUUGUUUGAUUGUUUUUGAUAUAGCUAAAGUUCUCCUAAAGAACUUUUUGGGAGCUAUAAAAAUAUUAAAAGACUAGUUUCUGCUUUAAAAGAUAACAUUUUUUUAACUGUUAACUUUUUCCAAAAGGUAGAUUUAAUGGAAAUCUAAUAGUUUUUCUUUUGUUUUUCACAUUUUGAGAUAAUAGUGAGAGGAACUUGAUUUUGAAAUAAAUCCGGAAAAGAAAGUAGGCAAGAAUAGCAAGUAAAAAUCAGUUUUGAGAAAGAAGAGUAAUGAGAAGAGACCAGUCUUAUCAAAUAUUAAAAUAUAUUAUAAAGUUAUAAUAAUUAAAAUCAUGUGAUACUGGCACCAAAAUAGAUAGAUUAAUGAGGCUAAAUAUGUGGUCAAAAUAAAUUAUAUUUUGAGAAUAUAAUGAAGUAUUUCAAAGAAUGAAAUAUUUGAUAAUGGCAGGACACAAAUCAAUGGAGAGGGAAAACACUUUACAACACGUGGACUGAUUAACAGUUUGGAAAAAAUCAAUUUGCACAUUCAUCAUACACAUGCAAUAAAUUAGCAAAACUCAAACCAUAGGAAGUCUAAAGGGACUUGUUUUUAUAAGCUUAGAAUACUGUAACUAAUUGCAAAGUGAAAGAUAAAAUAGAUUUGAUUAUAUUAAAACAGCAAUAAAACAAGCCACCAGUAGCCUAGGUACAAUUAUUUGAAUGUAAUAACAGAAAGGGUUAAUAUGAUUAUUGCACAGAAGAUCAUACAAACUCAUAAUAGCACUGCAACUGAGAACUCAUACAUGAGAUAAGAAUAGAAUCACAUUUCACAAAAGAUGAAAUAUAACACAUUUGCAAACAUACAAAAACAUCCAGUCUUACUAAUAAUCACAUGAAUAUACACUAAAACAAGAAUAAGUUAUACUUAGGUUUAAUCCAUUAUUUUUAAAUUAGUGUCAAGGACUUCUACUCUCAGCUGUUGCAGAUUAUUUUCAUUUAGAUCAACUCAUCCGCUGAAAGCAAGUAGAAAAGCUGAAUAAAAUCUAGCAAAUAUUUAUUUAAAGGCAUACCAGAGCUCUGAGGUAGAGAGGACUUGAAAGGCCAAGAACCCAGAGAGCAGGGAAUCCAAGAGAGAUCCCCUAUACAUAACUGCCUGUCAGAAGCAAAAGUGAAACAUCAUUUGACAAAGAUAUGAUCAUCCAGAGGCUCAAAUUAUUUCUAUGAUUUUUCACACACAAUGUGCGGCAUUUAAUAAAGUUACCAGGCAUACCAGCAGACAAGAUAAAAUGACCAAAAAUAGACCUACAGGAGAUCCAGAUACAGGAGUAACAGACUUUAAAAUAUCUGUGAUUAGUCAAUUAAAGAAAUUAGAUGAGAAGAUGGAGAAUUGCAACAGAUUACUGGUAGCUAUCAUGAAAAACAGAAAUUCUGGAACUGAGAAAUAAACUGAUAGAAAUUAAAAACUCAAUAGAUGAGUUUAAGAACAGAUUAGAAAAAGAUGAAGAACAGAUUGAUAAACUGGAAGACCAAAGCAAGAGGAAAUUUAAUGUUAGUAGCCAAAGUCAGCAAGAGGUCAUUGAAAAAUGGUUUCUUCUUACAUAACGAGUGGCAUAUAAGUCUGUAUAACACUUUUUGGAAAUACUUGGCAAUGUAAGUCAGAUAGUAGAACAAAAACUUUUAUAUCUUUUGACCCAAUAUUCUUAUCUCUGAGAAUAUAUUAUAAGGACAUAAUUUUUUUAUUGUGAAUUGCUUUAUGUAUGAAGAUGUUCAUUACAGACAUUUAUAAUAGUAAUAACUUUGUGCAGAUGAUGUUUUAAGUUCUUUUCUUCAAUUAAUGCAGUUAAUCCUCACAAAAACCCAACGAAGUGGAGAUAGUUGCUGUUAAUAUCUUCAUUUUACAGAUGAGAAAACUGGAACACUGACAGAUCAAGUAUCUUUCUCAAGAUUGCAUAGCCAAUGAGCAGAGGAGCAAGGAUUUGAACCAGGCUGUUGGCUCCACAGCCUACGCUUGAACCUGCUCUAGGCUGUCGGAAGCAACCUAAAUAGCUAACAACUGGAGAUUUGCUAAGGUGUUGCGGGCCUCUGCUCUCGUAAUACUUCAGCUACAGAACCCACGUGUGAACGCUCCUAGCGCUCUGGAGAAGAUCAAAUGCAUGUGGAAGCUCUUUGAAAACCAUAAAGCCCUCUAAAUGAAAAGGGUAAUUUUUCUCUCUCCUCUUUUAUACCAUAAACUGCAUGAGGGUACUUGACAGGGCCAUUCAUAGUGACUUCUUAAAAAUGUUUGAUGAAGUAUAUUAAAAAAUCGCAUUGUAAACCUUAAAUGUUUACAACUUUUGUCACUUAUAUCUCAAUAAAGCUGGGAAAAAAGUGUGAUGAAAUAAUGAACCAUUGAUCAAACGAAUGAAUCCAUAAGUGUUAUGGACUGAAUGUCUAUGUCCCCCCCCCCAAUUCAUAUGUUGAGGCCUCUACCCCCAGUGUGGUGGUGGUAGGAGGUGGCCCCUUUGGGAGGUAAUUAGGUUUAGAUGAAGUCGUGAGGGUGGAGCCCCAUGAUGGAAUUCGUGCCCGCACAAGAAGAGUAAGAGACAUCAGCGCUUCCUCUCUCCAGCAUGUGAGGAUACAGUGAGAAGGUGGCCGUCUGCAAGCCUCACCAAGAACUGAAUCUGCCGGCACCUUGAUCUCGGAGUUCCUAGCCUCCAGAACCGUGAGAAAUAAAUGUCUGUUGUUUCAGCCACCCACUCUAUGGUAUUUUGUUGUUGCAGCCUCAGCAGGCCAAGAUGAUGAUUGCAGCCGUGCUCCCUUGCACGUUUUUUUGCGGAGGAAGAUUAGCCCUGAACUAACAUCUGUGUGCAUCUUGCUGUACUUUAUAUGUGCGACACCUGCCACAGCAUAGGUCCACACCCAGGAUCCGAACCAGUGAACCCUGUGCCACCAAAGCAGAACGCGUGAACUUAACCACUAUGCCAUUAGGCUGGUCCACCUUGCACUUUCUUUUAUUUCAGAUGAUUUUGUACUUUCUUUGUAACUCACUCUAAAUAAUGCGUGUUGUUUUGCAUUUUUUAUAUCAGGAAGCGAAAUAUUAAAAAAUUUAUCAAAGUUGCAGGAAAAAGGGCACUCCCAUAAUAGAAAAAAAAAUGUAGCUUUAUGUCAUCAUUUUUUUAGAGAUUCUCUAGAGGUGAGCAGGGUUCCUUUAAAAAUAUGAAAUGAUAUAUUAUUUGAAAGUUGCUUGAACUACCACUGAUUGAGAUGGUAAAUUGGCACAACAGUUGUGCAAUAGCCAUUUAAAAAACAGAAAAACCUUGAACUGUGUAUAACCAUUCAAACAGAGAUAUUCACUUUUAGAAAUUUAUGCUACAGAAAUACAGAUAUGUUCACAAUUAAGCAUGAGACUGUUCAUUGUGGCAUGAGAUAUAUUAGGGGAAAAUUGGAAACAUCCUAAUGUCUAAACAUAGAUGCUAGUUUAAUAAAUUAUAAUACAUCCAAUCUAUAAAAUUCCAUUUACCAUCACAUAGAAAUCAUAUAGAAAAUAUUUAAUGAUGUGAGAAAUACAAAACAUUAAGUGGAAAAAGUAAGCUAGAAAACAGUUUGUCUAAAAUGAUCACAUACGUAAUAUGUAUACAUAUGGUCUGUCAUACAAUAAAAUGUUAACAGGUCAAUUAUGUCUCAAUAAAACUGGAAAAAUGUUA